GAGUUUGAUUAUGGCUCAGGAUGAACGCUAGCGAUAGGCUUAACACAUGCAAGUCGAGGGGCAGCAUAAAGUCAGCUUGCUGAUUUAGAUGGCGACCGGCGGAUGGGUGCGUAACGCGUAUGCAACUUACCUGUCAGAGGGGGAUAACCCGGAGAAAUUCGGACUAAUACCGCAUAUNCUUGAGAUGCUGCAUGGUGUUUCAAGGAAAUAUUUAUAGCUGACAGAUAGGCAUGCGUUCCAUUAGCUAGUAGGUGAGGUAACGGCUCACCUAGGCGACGAUGGAUAGGGGAACUGAGAGGUUAAACCCCCACACUGGUACUGAGACACGGACCAGACUCCUACGGGAGGCACGCAGUGAGGAAUAUUGGUCAAUGGGCGAGAGCCUGAACCAGCCAAUUCGCGUGAAGGAUGACUGCCCUAUGGGUUGUAAACUUCUUUAGUAGGGGAUUAAAGUUUGCCNUGCGAGGCAAUUGCAANACC
rnacentral:rRNA from 1 species